rnacentral:rRNA from 1 species
AGCAGGCGCGUAAAUUGCCCGAAUCCUGACACAGGGAGGUAGUGACAAGAAAUAACAAUACAGGGCUACUUCUAGUCUUGUAAUUGGAAUGAGUACAACUUACAUCUCUUCACGAGGAUCAAUUGGAGGGCAAGUCUGGUGCCAGCAGCCGCGGUAAUUCCAGCUCCAAAAGCGUAUAUUAAAGUUGUUGCAGUUAAAACGCUCGUAGUCGGGUUUCGGGUCGGGCCGAGCGGUCUGCCGAUGGGUAUGCACUGUUUGGCGCGGCCUUCUUUCCGGAGACCGCGGCUACUCUUAACUGAGCGGGCGUAGGAGACGGAUCGUUUACUUUGAAAAAAUCAGAGUGUUUCAAGCAGGCAGCUCGCUCUUGCAUGGUACAGCAUGGGAUGAUUGAAUAGGACUCCGGUGCUAUUUUGUUGGUUUCGAACACCGGGAGUAAUGAUUAACAGGGACAGUCAGGGGCACUCGUAUUCCGUCGAGAGAGGUGAAAUUCUCAGACCAAUGGAAGACGAACCACUGCGAAAGCAUUCGCCAGGGAUGUUUUCACUGAUCAAGAACGAAAGUUAGGGGAUCGAAGACGAUCAGAUACCGUCGUAGUCUUAACCAUAAACCAUGCCGACUAGGGAUUGGAGGGUGUUCGUUUCGACCUCUUCAGCACCUUACGGGAAACUAAAGUCUUUGGGUUCCGGGGGGAGUAUGGUCGCAAGGCUGAAACUUAAAGGAAUUGACGGAAGGGCACCACCAGGAGUGGAGCCUGCGGCUUAAUUUGACUCAACACGGGGAAACUUACCAGGUCCAGACAUUGUUAGGAUUGACAGAUUGAGAGCUCUUUCUUGAUUCGAUGGGUGGUGGUGCAUGGCCGUUCUUAGUUGGUGGAGUGAUUUGUCUGGUUAAUUCCGAUAACGAACGAGACCGUAGCCUGCUAAAUAGUCCCGCGAACUUCUUGUUGGCGGCUGACUUCUUAGAGGGACAACUUGUGACCAACAAGUGGAAGUUUGCGGCAAUAACAGGUCUGUGAUGCCCUUAGAUGUUCUGGGCCGCACGCGCGCUACACUGAAGCACUCAACGAGUCCACCUCGACCGACAGGUCUGGGAAACCUUUUGAAAUUGCUUCGUGAUAGGGAUAGAUUAUUGCAACUAUUAAUCUUCAACGAGGAAUUCCUAGUAAGCGCAUGUCAUCAGCGUGCGUUGA